rnacentral:misc_RNA from 1 species
GAAGAACAAAAUCAAUACAAAAGGUAUCAGAGAAAGACACUUCUGGAUCUCCUGUUGAAGAAGCAUUUGAUAAGCCUGCUUUCAAUAACGAAAAAGCAAAUGGAGAAUGUGAAGAAAAGGCAUCUGAGAAAGCUGCUUCAGGAUCUGCUACUGAAGAGGUCUCUAAUGAACCUGCUUUGGAUAAUAAAAAAUUAGACGGAGAAUGUGAUGUGCCAGAAGAGAUAACAAAGGACGAACCUGGUAGCAUAUCAGUAGAACCAAUGAAGACCACAGAGUGCAAAGUUCGACAGGAGCUGGAGCCCCCG